rnacentral:sRNA from 1 species
AACCAUUUUCAUUUGUUCAACAGGUUAACAAGUUAACACACUGCCACAAUGAAUGUCCCAGGACAAGGUGCACCAGGUAACAAGCAGUUACUGGAGAAAUACCUGACUCUAGCUCAGCCAGAUGACCAGAUCAUGGCAGAGUAUGUUUGGAUUGAUGGAACAGGGGAAGGCAUAAGGAGUAAGUGCAGGACACUGGACUUUGAACCCAAGAAACCAGAAGAUUGUCCUAUCUGGAACUUUGAUGGUUCUAGCACUUAUCAGGCAGAGG